AAAAGAGGCUCUUCUUCAUGGUGUCACUCUGGAAGGCGAUAAAAGGGAUAAUUUCAACAAAAUUCAGCAGGAGCUGGAAAGGUUAUCUCAUAAAUUUGAUGAAAAUGUUUUGGAUGCAACAAAGAAGUUUGAGAAGUUGAUUGUUGAUAAGCAUGAAGUUGAUGGACUGCCUUCUACUGCUCUGGGAAUGGCAGCUCAAACAGCAGUUUCCAAGGGUCAUGAAAAUGCUACUGCAGAAAAUGGUCCAUGGGUAAUUACUUUAGAUGCUCCAUGUUAUCUUUCUGUCAUGCAACAUGCUAAAAAUCGAGCCUUGCGGAAGGAAGUUUACUAUGCUUAUAUAACUCGAGCCUCUAGUGGAGAAAUG
rnacentral:misc_RNA from 1 species